UGGGGAAUAUUGCACAAUGGGCGCAAGCCUGAUGCAGCGACGCCGCGUGAAGGAUGAAGGUCUUCGGAUUGUAAACUUCUAUCAGCAGGGAAGAAUAAAUGACGGUACCUGACUAAGAAGCUCCGGCUAACUACGUGCCAGCAGCCGCGGUAAUACGUAGGGAGCGAGCGUUAUCCGGAUUUACUGGGUGUAAAGGGUGCGCAGGCGGCCUGGUAAGUCAGAAGUGAAAUUUCGGGGCUCAACCCCGGAGCUGCUUCUGAAACUGCUAGGCUAGAGUGUGGGAGAGGAAAGUGGAAUUCCGAGUGUAGCGGUGAAAUGCGUAGAGAUUCGGAGGAACACCAGUAGCGAAGGCGGCUUUCUGGACCAUAACUGACGCUCAGGCACGAAAGCGUGGGGAGCAAACAGG
rnacentral:rRNA from 2 species